rnacentral:rRNA from 1 species
AACGAACGCUGGCGGCGUGCCUAACACAUGCAAGUCGAACGAGAAAGGGGCUUCGGCUCCGAGUAAAGUGGCGCACGGGUGAGUAACACGUGGGUAACCUGCCUCUAAGAUUGGGAUAACUCGUCGAAAGAUGAGCUAAUACCGAAUAAGACCACAGUUCCCGCGGGAACAGGGGUCAAAGGUAGCCUCUGCUUGCAAGCUAUCACUUAGAGAUGGGCCUGCGCACCAUUAGCUAGUUGGUAGGGUAACGGCCUACCAAGGCAAAGAUGGUUAGCUGGUCUGAGAGGAUGAUCAGCCACACUGGAACUGAGACACGGUCCAGACUCCUACGGGAGGCAGCAGUGGGGAAUAUUGCGCAAUGGGCGAAAGCUUGACGCAGCAACGCCGCGGGAGUGAUGAAGGCCUUCGGGUCGUAAAGCUCUGUCGGGAGGAACGAAUGCUCCUGAGGUUAACAGCCUCGGGAGGUGACGGUACCUGCAAAGGAAGCACCGGCUAACUCUGUG